rnacentral:rRNA from 1 species
UACGAAGGGUGCAAGCGUUAAUCGGAAUUACUGGGCGUAAAGCGCGCGUAGGUGGUUUGUUAAGUUGGAUGUGAAAGCCCCGGGCUCAACCUGGGAACUGCAUCCAAAACUGGCAAGCUAGAGUAUGGCAGAGGGUGGUGGAAUUUCCUGUGUAGCGGUGAAAUGCGUAGAUAUAGGAAGGAACACCAGUGGCGAAGGCGACCACCUGGGCUAAUACUGACACUGAGGUGCGUAAGCGCCGGCGUCUAACCGCGUCAGAUGGCCCGGUAGUUC